GACGAACGCUGGCGGCGUGCUUAACACAUGCAAGUCGAACGGAAAGGCCCUGCUUUUGUGGGGUGCUCGAGUGGCGAACGGGUGAGUAACACGUGAGUAACCUGCCCUUGACUUUGGGAUAACUUCAGGAAACUGGGGCUAAUACCGGAUAGGAGCUCCUGCUGCAUGGUGGGGGUUGGAAAGUUUCGGCGGUUGGGGAUGGACUCGCGGCUUAUCAGCUUGUUGGUGGGGUAGUGGCUUACCAAGGCUUUGACGGGUAGCCGGCCUGAGUGGGUGACCGGCCACAUUGGGACUGAGAUACGGCCCAGACUCCUACGGGAGGCAGCAGUGGGGAAUAUUGCACAAUGGGCGGAAGCCUGAUGCAGCAACGCCGCGUGCGGGAUGACGGCCUUCGGGUUGUAAACCGCUUUCGCCUGUGACGAAGCGUGAGUGACGGUAAUGGGUAAAGAAGCACCGGCUAACUACGUGCCAGCAGCCGCGGUGAUACGUAGGGUGCGAGCGUUGUCCGGAUUUAUUGGGCGUAAAGGGCUCGUAGGUGGUUGAUCGCGUCGGAAGUGUAAUCUUGGGGCUUAACCCUGAGCGUGCUUUCGAUACGGGUUGACUUGAGGAAGGUAGGGGAGAAUGGAAUUCCUGGUGGAGCGGUGGAAUGCGCAGAUAUCAGGAGGAACACCAGUGGCGAAGGCGGUUCUCUGGGCCUUUCCUGACGCUGAGGAGCGAAAGCGUGGGGAGCGAACAGGCUUAGAUACCCUGGUAGUCCACGCUGUAAACGGUGGGUACUAGGUGUGGGGUCCAUUCCACGGGUUCCGUGCCGUAGCUAACGCUUUAAGUACCCCGCCUGGGGAGUACGGCCGCAAGGCUAAAACUCAAAGGAAUUGACGGGGCCCCGCACAAGCGGCGGAGCAUGCGGAUUAAUUCGAUGCAACGCGUAGAACCUUACCUGGGUUUGACAUGGAUCGGGAGUGCUCAGAGAUGGGUGUGCCUCUUUUGGGGUCGGUUCACAGGUGGUGCAUGGCUGUCGUCAGCUCGUGUCGUGAGAUGUUGGGUUAAGUCCCGCAACGAGCGCAACCCUUGUUCACUGUUGCCAGCACGUUAUGGUGGGGACUCAGUGGAGACCGCCGGGGUCAACUCGGAGGAAGGUGGGGAUGACGUCAAGUCAUCAUGCCCCUUAUGUCCAGGGCUUCACGCAUGCUACAAUGGCUGGUACAGAGAGUGGCGAGCCUGUGAGGGUGAGCGAAUCUCGGAAAGCCGGUCUCAGUUCGGAUUGGGGUCUGCAACUCGACCUCAUGAAGUCGGAGUCGCUAGUAAUCGCAGAUCAGCAACGCUGCGGUGAAUACGUUCCCGGGGCU
rnacentral:rRNA from 1 species